GCUGGCAGAAAACUAGGUAUGGAAACUAAUUGUCAAUCCUAUUACAUGACCGCCAUCCAAACCGGUUGAAUAUAUCCCGCGCUACCAUCUCCCACCGGACAGAUCCAGUAACCAAACGCUCCCUGGCCUCCGUCGGAGUGAGUAGGGACCACAUACGGAUCAACGCCGUAGCUCGGAAUACAACCUGCAAAAAAUGAACAGUAGUUAUUCUGUUAAAAGCCAAAUCAUUUCUGCAGUUCCAAAUUGCCCAUAACAACGCACAAACUCCUACACGAAUAUGUCUAGCUGUACCGGACUCUAUCCCAUCCAGCCACGUUCCAAAUAACGACCCGACCGAACUCGGAGGAGUAAUGUUAAAAGCAAUUUGCACGGAGCGCCACAAAUUUUUUGCCAACGGGCACUCAAAGAAUAGAUGCUUAAUGGUUUCAUCCCGAUCACAGAAACUACACCUAGUAGAUCCUGUCCAAUUGCGCUUAACCAAGUUAUCCUUUGUUAAAAUGACCUGUUUAUGGACAAACCACAUAAACACUUUGAUUUUCAAAGAAACUUUAACUUUCCAAACAUGUUUGGAGUUAGGAAUGACACUCGAGUUAAUAACAUCGAUGUACAUCGAUUUAACGGUAAAAUGUCCAGACCUAGUAAGCUUCCAACACAACUGAUCGGGCUGAUGUUGUAGCUGAACCUCCAUCAGUCUACGCACCAGAUGAAGCCAAGCUUCCCAUCUAUUACCGACAAGCACCCUUCUAAACUGAAUAUUAAGGGGUGUGGCCUGCAUAAUCGUUGCCACAAGCGCAUCACGGCGAUGCACAAUACGAUACAGAGUUGGGUACUGUAACGCCAACGGAGUCUCACCAAGCCAGGUGUCCUCCCAGAAGCGAGUAUCAUUACCAUCGCCGACUAUAAAUUUUGUUCUAUUAAAGAAGGCUGUCUUAACUCUCAUAAGCCCCUUCCAAAAUGGCGAAUCAGUUGGUCGCAUUGUCACCUGUGACAAUGUUUUGGAUUGCAAAUACUUGUUACCAAGUAUCUGUGCCCAAGUCGCAUCAGUCCCAUCUGAUAACUUGUAUAGCCACUUACUAAGCAGGCAUCUAUUCUUUACCUCAAGAUUCUCAAUACCCAACCCCCCUGAUCCUUGGGACGACAAAUAAUAUCCCACUUGGCGAGUCUAUACUUUCUUUUUAGAUCAUCACUCUGCCAAAAAAAUCUUGACCGAUAAAAGUCCAGCCGUUUCCUAACCCCAACUGGAACCUCAAAGAAAGAUAGUAGGAACAUCGGCAAACUUGUGAGCACCGAAUUAAUAAGAAUCAACCGGCCUCCAUAAGACAGAAGUUUGCCCUUCCAACAACUAAGUUUCUUUUCGAACCGAUCUUCGAUACAUUUCCAUUCUCUGUUCGUGAGCUUACGAUGAUGAAUGGGUAUACCUAGGUAAGUAAAAGGUAAAGCCCCUAAUUCACAACCGAACAAUUGCCUAUAAGCCUCUUGUUCCUCCUUGGCUCGACCAAAGCAAAACAACUCGCUUUUAUGAAAGUUAAUCUUUAAACCGGACAAUUGUUCAAAUAAACACAACACCAGCUUCAUGUUUCUCGCUUUUGCCAAGUCAUGCUCCAUGAAGAUGAUUGUAUCAUCAGCGUAUUGCAAAAUGGAGACACCCCCAUCAACUAGGUUAGGCACCAAGCCACCUACCUGACCGGCGUCCUUUGCCCUACCUAUGAGAAUGGCCAACAUAUCAACUACAAUGUUGAACAAUAUAGGGGACAUUGGAUCUCCUUGUCUUAGGCCUUUGUGUGUCUGGAAAUAAUGACCUAUAUCCUCAUUGACUUUAAUUCCAACACUGCCUUUUUGCGUAAAGGAUUCUACCUGGCGUCGCCAGGCCUCAUCAAAACCCUUCAUGCGUAAAGCCUGUUGAAGGAAAGGCCAUUUGACUUUGUCAUACGCUUUUUCGAAAUCCACUUUGAAAACAACCCCAUCCAGCUUUUUCGUGUGGAUUUCAUGCAGUGUUUCAUGUAGGACCACAACACCCUCAAGAAUGUUCCUGUCCGGCAUGAAGGCCGUUUGGGUAGGCUGCACAAUGACAUGCGCGAUCUGUGAGAGCCUAUUGGUCCCGACCUUGGUGAAAAUUUUGAAGCUAACAUUAAGAAGACAGAUUGGCCUGAAUUGCUCAAUUCUCACUGCCUCUGUUUUCUUAGGAAGAAGGGUGAUCGUUCCAAAAUUUAGCUGAAAAAGAUGAAGCUGCCCAGCAAACAGAUCAUGGAACAAAGGCAACAAAUCUCCUUUAAUGAUAAACCAGCAUUUCUUAUAAAACUCCACUGGAAAUCCAUCUGGGCCAGGCGCUUUGUUAGUUUCCAUUUGUGAGACGGCAUCAAAUACCUCUUUCUGGGUAAAAGGAGCCGUCAAAACAUCAUUCUCCACAACUGUGAGCUGAGGAACAUCCUCAACCCUGGACUCAUCCAGAGACACACAGUUAUUGUCUGGAGGACCAAACAACUGCUUAUAGAAUUCAGUAAUGUACAAUUUUAGGUUCUCCUGUCCUACAAUUGUACCCUCAUCUUGCUCAAGCUGAAAGAUCCUCUUCUUUCGAUGCUUACCAUUAGCAAUCAUAUGAAAAAAUUCAGUAUUCGCGUCCCCCUGGACUACUCUCCGGACCUUGGCCCGCAACGCCCACUUCAACUCUUCUUCCCUAAGAAGUUCCUUCAACCUCAAUUCUGCGUCCCUCUUGGCUUGAAGCUCCGCUACUGGCAGCAGCGUGGUUUCUGCCUUUACAUCUAGGGACUGAAUAAAGGAGAGGAGCCUUUCCUUUUCAACCUUAUAAAUCCCGCUAAGAUGCUUAGCCCAUCCACGCAGGACACUCCUCAAGUGCCUGAUCUCGUCCGUCUACAUGGCGGCCAAUCCAGUUCACCACAGACGCACGAAGCAUAUCGAGCUAGAUAUCCACUUCGUCCGCGAGAAGGUAGCCCUCGGCGAGUUCCACGUUCUCCACGUCCCGACCACGCAGCAGUUCACCGACGUCUUGACCAAAGGGCUCCCCUCGCCAGCGUUCCACGACUUUCGAUCCAGCUUAUGCAUCCGGCCACCGGACGCUACAGCUGCGGCGGGGUGUUAGCAGCUGCAUGGUGAUCUCAUGCACGUACGUGCUUGCCCACGUACUCGCCCACGAUCUCCACUCCUGCACACGUCGCUCCACUCCCCUCUCUCUCUCUCUCUGAGCGCCAUUGCGCUGUGUACUUGUACUAUAUAUUGUUGUAUACAGAAUGAGAGCACCCAAGGUGCAUCUUCUCUCUCGCAUACUGCUCUACAGUGGCUGCAACUUCGAAGAACAAGUCAAAACUAGGAGAGAGAGAAUGAGACAUAGGCAGGGUGGGAGGGAGAGGGGAGAGAGAAAGGGACAGAGAGAGUGUGUUACUUCGAAGAGCAAGCUGCCGAAACUAGGAGAGGGAGAGAUUCAUUUCAUAUAGCGGUUGCAACUUUCAAUAACAGACUGUAGAGGGAGGGUAGAGGGAGGGAGACAGGUGGUAAAAAUAAGUUGACAUUGUUGCCUGGUGUGCAUGAGAUCGUUUAUGAGACACAAUUAGUGUUGAGUCACUAACAUGAGAACAUGUAUGCUCCCAUUGCAACGCACGUACAACCUGUGAAACUGAUUGCGGCCGUGUACACACUUUGUUAACAAUGUCAUUUGUUCUUAUUAUUUGGUUUAUUACUAUCUCAAUAAUAUGAUUUAUUGGACGUUAAGAAGAGACAACACAUUUUGUUGUGGAGAUAAUUUGAGAGGUAAGAAGAAUGAGAAGAUGGGAGGAAAAAUACAAUGCCUUGUCUUGUUCAAGGUUGGGCAUUCGAGGAGGCACUUGGCCGGAGACAAUUUAAGAGGUAAGAAGAAUGAGAACUUGGGAGGACAAAUGCAAUGCCUUGUCUUGUUCAGGGUUGUGCAUAUGUGAAGGAGGCACUUGGAAUGGAGAAAAAAAUUGAAGUAGAUGUGGUGGCUCAAAGAGUGAAGCGAGAAGGUGUCAACAUGGUUUGAGCUGGAGUCUUAAAUUGCAUGAGCCUUUGCACUUGUGGUGGUACAACCGGCGCAUGCCUCCUCCCCCUUAUUGCGGUGGUGGAUCAGUACAAGCAUGGGGGGAGGGGGUCAGAGCGGGGCAAUUGGUGGGGAACGUCCUUGGCGGUCCGUGGGGAAGUAUGGUGUGAAGGAGACAGGGCAUCAUGGUGAAGGUGAGGUGUAAGUCGUACGGUUUUAAAGGAGGGGGCUCCAGCAAGAAAUGUCCUGCUACGACAAGAAGCCAAGCAGGAAGGGAAGGAGACGACAAGAAGAGUGAAGAGUGCGUCGUGGGGUGGGGGUUUUGUGUUGGGCCCAUGUGCUGGAGAUAAGAUGAAAGAUAGUCCGGACAACCACAUUUCUCCCUCACAUAUGAUCUGGAUUUGGGAGAGCUCGGACUGUCUAGAUGGUUGAAUUUUGCGGAGCCUACCAGGUAUCCGAACAUGCUCGGGCCUACGAGGGAGAAAUGAGAUUCGACCUUAAUAAUUUGUUUGAUUCAUUUAUAUGUACCGUGGCCCGUAGCAACGCACGGGCAUUCUACUAGUCUUAUAAUAGUGAUCAACGGAAGGAGUAGUAGGUAAUCUUGCAUUGCAUUCCAACGAUUACGUGCUAAAAAUCGGCUCACCAAACCUAAAAAAAAAAAUUCGGCUCACCGACGCAUGUUGCCCAACUCAGCUCCGGCUCCACCUCAUCCUCCAACCGCCUCGU
rnacentral:lncRNA from 1 species